ensembl:lncRNA
UCUGUCUGUGAGACAUUAUGAGAGAGAGAGAGGUCUGUCUGUGAGACAUUAUGAGAGAGAGAGAGAUCUGUGAGACACAUUAUGAGAGAGAGAGAGAUCUGUGAGACACAUUAUGAGAGAGAGAUCUGUCUGUGAGACACAUUAUGAGAGACUGAUCUGUCUGUGAGACACACUAUGAGAGAGAGAUCUGUCUGUGAGACACACUAUGAGAGAGAGGUCUGUCUGUGAGACACAUUGUGAGAGAGAGAGAUCUGUCUGUGAGACACAUUAUGAGAGAGAGAGAGAUCUGUCUGUGAGACACACUAUGAGAGAGAGAGAGAGGUCUGUCUGUGAGACACAUUAUGAGAGAGAGAGAGAUCUGUCUGUGAGACACAUUAUGAGAGAGAGACUGCCCUGUCAGAGAGAGAGAGAGAGAGAGACAGAGAGAGAGAGGAGAGACAGAGAGAGAGAGAGACAGAGAGAGAGAGAGAGAGAGACAGAGAGAGAGAGUAGAGAGAGAGAGCACACAUACCUCAGCAUAAACAUCAGCACCACAGGUAACUUCCCCAAAGCUGUGAACGAUCGGAGACAGAAGAAGAGCUUUCUACACCAUCAAAAGGAACAUAACAUUUGACAUCCCAAUUAGGAUCUGGCUAAAACAACUUGAAUCAGUUAUUGAACCCAUUGCCCUUUAUGAUAGGUCUGGGGUCUGCUCACUGACCAAGACUUCACAAAAUGGAACAAACACCAAAUUGAGACUGACAAAACAUCCCCCGUGUACAACGUAAAACACCAAAUAAUGCACACAGAGCAGAAAUAGGCCGACACCCACUAAUGAUCAAAAUCCAGAAAAUAGACACAAAAAGGAAGCGAUUCCCA